CAACAGGGAUUGCCCUAGUAACGGCGAGUGAAGCGGCAACAGCUCAAAUUUGAAAUCUGGCUCUUUUAGGGUCCGAGUUGUAAUUUGCAGAGGGCGCUUUGGCUUUGGCAGCGGUCCAAGUUCCUUGGAACAGGACGUCACAGAGGGUGAGAAUCCCGUACGUGGUCGCUAGCUAUUGCCGUGUAAAGCCCCUUCGACGAGUCGAGUUGUUUGGGAAUGCAGCUCUAAAUGGGAGGUAAAUUUCUUCUAAAGCUAAAUACUGGCCAGAGACCGAUAGCGCACAAGUAGAGUGAUCGAAAGAUGAAAAGCACUUUGGAAAGAGAGUCAAACAGCACGUGAAAUUGUUGAAAGGGAAGCGCUUGCAGCCAGACUUGCUUGCAGUUGCUCAUCCGGGCUUUUUUGCCCGGUGCACUCUUCUGCAGGCAGGCCAGCAUCAGUUUGGGCGGUGGGAUAAAGGUCUCUGUCACGUACCUCUCUUCGGGGAGGCCUUAUAGGGGAGGCGACAUACCACCAGCCUGGACUGAGGUCCGCGCAUCUGCUAGGAUGCUGGCGUAAUGGCUGUAAGCGGCCCGUCUUGAAACACGGACCAAGGAGUCUAACAUCUAUGCGAGUGUUUGGGUGUCAAGCCCGAACGCGUAAUGAAAGUGAACGGAGGUGGGAACCCGCAAGGGUGCACCAUCGACCGAUCCUGAUGUCUUCGGAAGGAUUUGAGUAAGAGCAUGGCUGUUGGGACCCGAAAGAUGGUGAACUAUGCUUGAAUAGGGUGAAGCCAGAGGAAACUCUGGUGGAGGCUCGCAGCGGUUCUGACGUGCAAAUCGAUCGUCAAAUUUGGGCAUAGGGGCGAAAGACUAAUCGAACUAUCUAGUAGCUGGUUCCUGC
rnacentral:rRNA from 1 species